rnacentral:lncRNA from 9 species
GAUUUAUGUAAGGUCAUGGAAAUAGCAUUUCCCAAAUAAAGCAUUUAGCUGAUGGACUUUUAUCUGUACACAUUAGGGUUGUACAAGAGCUGAUCAAUAUAUCCCACUAAGAAAAGGAGAGCAGUGUUAGCCUGGCAAAUUUGAAUCCUGAAGGCAAAUAAGUAAAUACCUCUGGAGAUGAGAGGAGAUAAGGUUGCAGAGGUGAAGAAGAAUAGGACAAAGGACAGAACUGUCAGGAACAGCAGGGCACAGCAUGACGAAGAGGUGAUGGCAAAGGGGAAGACCACUGAGGUUCGAGAACCUGAGCUCAGCACAUAGGCUGCGAAGGAGAGCUGCAAGGAAAAAGGUCUCAGGUAGGGAAUAAAACCCAGGAAGAAUGAGGAUCAAGAACAGAUGACUGUGUCUGGAAGUCAAAAGCUCCCUGUGACCUUCAGAAAACUAGCUCCAGGAACUGGUGGGAAGCAGAAGCCAGCCCGUAAGGACAUGAAGAAGGCUCUUUCUAUGAAACUAGUGCCCAUCACAAACAGGAUGGAACUGAGCACCCACCACACGUCCAGAACACAUGUCACCGUUUCGCGACUACAUGGAAACCUGACCGCUAGCACUGAUCCAAUCUAUAGGAGUCUGUGUAAAUAGCAGCUGUGCAGCUGGACUCUGCCUCCACUCCUCAGAAAGUCGAUGUUCUCGCUAGCCCAGAUUGGAUUUCUGCAUAUAAUCUCCAUGCCUUGCAUGCUGUGAUAUAUCUUUAUACUCAAAGAAUUGUACACUUUUCAUUUUGAACAUGAAAUAACAUCCAGACUCUCACUGGAAGACUCCUGGCCGACUAGAGCACCACCUGUUCUUGAUAUUUUUUCACCCAAUUAAGCAUUUAAAUUGUUUCUCAUCUAAACUGGAUUUGCUUUUAUUAUUUUUUCCUUGCCAUUUUUCUUUGCCACAGCCAUCAACAAUACCUAGCAAACAACUGCUUAAUGUGCUACGGAAACAAAAGUGCGGUUGUGCGGAAGUGGAAACGAGAGGGGAUGGGGUGGAGCGGAGAGAAGGCGAGCUGGAACCCGGGGCUGACUUGCAUCAGGGGACCUUGGUCAGGUGAGAGAGGAUUUGGUUUCCUCCGCCAUAAACUGAGGUUAAGAUGAGGCCUCUGGACUUUCACAAGGUGAAACCGGCACCAUCCUCCUUGCGAACCUUCACUUCCUCUUGGCUCAGAAGAAGAAGAGCUCCUCCUUCAUUCCAAGAGUCUCUCUUCCAUUUGAGAUUUUGAGUUCACCCUUCUUGGCUCAAUCAAGAUGUUGCUCUUUCCCUUAAAUCCCUGAACCCCUUUUUUCCGUUAAUUUCUUCCCUUUUUCUACCAAAAGCCCACCACCUAUUUAUUCACUGUCAAGAACUAACCAAUGACUUCUAUGGCUUCUGUCUCUGCAAUUCAAUUAGAUUUUCCACUGACUCCAUAUUCCUUUCUUUGCAGCUAAUCCAUUUUCAACCACCCCAAUUUUCAAGUGAUUUGAAAAAUAGGUAUGAGAGAUCUGGUGGUUCAACACAGACUCAAGAAAACAUUCUGUUCUUAAAGAACCAUGUGUUGCAGAUGACCUGUUAAGACAGCAGCACUGUAGUUACAUUAAUCAAUAUAUACUUAACAAACUUGUUUUAAACAGACCAUAUUUCUAUUUUUCCAUGAAAUUAAUCAGAAGCUUUCAUGGAAACCUUUAUAAAACACAUGAUUGCAUGAAUGUAAUUUUUAAUUUAAUUUGCACUUAAUUUAAUAGGUUAAAUUUUUUUCAACCAAAUACUAAUUUCUUUUCCUUGGCUUGUGGUUUUUUAAAUUUAUGAUUGAUUUUGCCAGACUUGAAAAAUACAUGAGAGGUCAAUCCUCCUCUUAAAAGGACUAGACUAAACUUAAGAUUUGUGUCAGUGAAAGACAACAGCAGACCAGGUUUGCAGCUCUCUCUGGAAUAGAAAGUACAGAGUUUUGACUAUCUUUGCCCCAAAACAUCGAGAAACUCAAGGUUUGUCUCCUCUGCUCCCUCAUUAAGGAAGCCCUGAACCUGCUCCCCACAAAGCCUCAGGACGAAGGAGUAGGCAUUGACAGGCCCAGCAAAGGGGCAGCAGCUUUCAAAGUGCUUUCAGCAAGAGUUCCCACUGUGGUACAGUGGGUUAAGAAUCUGACUGCAGCAGGAUGGGACACUGCAGAGAUGCAGGUUUGAUCCCUGCCCCAGUGCAGUCGGUUAAAGGAUCCAAUCUCUUUAUAAUACU